rnacentral:rRNA from 1 species
UGCCAGCCGCCGCGGUAAUACGGGGGGUGCAAACGUUGCUCGGAAUUAUUGGGCGUAAAGCGCACGUAGGCGGUUACGUAAGUCGGGUGUGAAAGCCCUCGGCUCAACCAAGGAAGUGCAUUCGAAACUGCGUAACUUGAGUACGGGAGAGGAAAGUGGAAUUCCGAGUGUAGGGGUGAAAUCCGUAGAUAUUCGGAGGAACACCAGUGGCGAAGGCGGCUUUCUGGACCGAUACUGACGCUGAGACGCGAGAGCGUGGGGAGCAAACAGGAUUAGAUA